rnacentral:rRNA from 1 species
AUUUAGGUGCAGCGUCGUAUAUAAGUUUAUUAGAGGUAGAGCUACUGAUUGGAUGCGGGGGUUUCAUCGCCUACCAAUUCCUGACAAACUCCGAAUGCUAAUAAAUGUUCUACGGCAGUGAGGGCAUGGGUGCUAAGGUCCAUGUCCGAGAGGGAAAGAACCCAGACCAACAGCUAAGGUCCCCAAAUAUAUGUUAAGUUGAAGCAACGCGGUUGGACUGCAUUGACAGCUAGGAUGUUGGCUUGGAAGCAGCCAUUCAUUUAAAGAGUGCGUAACAGCUCACUAGUCGAGCGGUCCGGCAUGGAUAAUAAUCGGGCAUAAACAUAUUACCGAAGCUAUGGAUUUAUAAUUUAUUAUAUCUGGUAGGAGAGCAUUCUGUUUGCGCCGAAGCA